GGAAGUGUGGCCGAGUGGUCUAAGGCGCUGGAUUUAGGCUCUAGUCUCUCUGGAAGCGUGGGCUCAAAUCCCACCAUUGCCA
rnacentral:tRNA from 1 species